rnacentral:rRNA from 1 species
UACGGGGGGGGCAAGCGUUGUUCGGAAUUACUGGGCGUAAAGGGCUCGUAGGCGGCCAAGUAAGUCGGAUGUGAAAUCCCCAGGCUUAACCUGGGAACUGCAUCCGAUACUGGAUGGCUUGAAUCCGGGAGAGGGAUGCAGAAUUCCAGGUGUAGCGGUGAAAUGCGUAGAUAUCAGGAGGAACACCGGUGGCGAAGGCGGCUACCUGGACCGGUUCUGACACUGAGGAGCGAAAGCGUGGGGAGCAAACAGG